rnacentral:rRNA from 1 species
GACGAACUGUGCGAACGUUAUUCGGAAUCACUGGGCUUACAGGGUGCGUAGGCGGCCUGUUAAGUAGGGUGUGAAAUCCCCCGGCCCAACCGGGGAAUGGCGCUCUAAACUAGCAGGCUUGAGUGAGCUAGGGGUGCACGGAACUUCCAGUGGAGCGGCGAAAUGUGUUGAUAUUGGAAGGAGCACCGGAGGCGAAAGCGGUGCACUGGGGCUUAACUGACGCUGAGGCACGAAAGCCAGGGGAGCGAACGGG